UACGUAGGGUGCAAGCGUUAAUCGGAAUUACUGGGCGUAAAGCGUGCGCAAGCGGUGAUGUAAGACAGUUGUGAAAUCCCCGGGCUCAACCUGGGAACUGCAUCUGUGACUGCAUCGCUGGAGUGCGGCAGAGGGGGAUGGAAUUCCGCGUGUAGCAGUGAAAUGCGUAGAUAUGCGGAGGAACACCGAUGGCGAAGGCAAUCCCCUGGGCCUGCACUGACGCUCAUGCACGAAAGCGUGGGGAGCAAACAGG
rnacentral:rRNA from 1 species